ensembl:lncRNA
AUUGCCCACUUGUCUCCAGCCUCAUUCUGACAAACUUCCCAGACAAAAUACCACAUUUCCCUUCUAAUGACCAUCACAAUAGUUCCUACUCUAAACAGACUCUAAUAAUUUCUCCUUUUUUCCCUGCUCUCUGCUCACUAAAUAUGUAAUAAUGAACAGAGAUACGAAAGUUAUUCUUUAAUCCUCCAGACAGAGGGCACUCGAAGAUAUUGUUCAACGGGCACUACCAAAGGGAAGCACAGAGGAAAUAGUACCAAGUUCUCACUGGUUAUUUAGCCUAAGGGUAGCGAACCUUCUCCAGAAGAAAAUUUGUGUGCAGCUGCGGCAUACACAAGUGACAAUUCAGUUAGAGGUGUUGGAGAAGACAGAAGAGAAGGGUUCUGAUUCAGCUAUCAAAAGCUCUACAGUCAUUGGUACAAGCUUCUGCGCUACAAAUCAGGACCAAAAUGGGAGAGGAAAAAAACAGACCUUGGAUCUGUACCAUCAAAGAGAGAAUCGCGUUUACCUUGUGAGUCACAAGACACAAACCAGUGUGUAUUACUCUUUGCCCUGACACAUUUCUUCCACCGAUCGGAUCUAGCAUUGUGCUUGUCUAACAGCAAGGAUACAUCAUGUCAUUCAUGACACAUGAUGAUUCCCAGAUGUUCAGAGAGCUGUGUUGCCCAGUGGAACAAAUGGGUGUUUACCCAUUACAGUAAAGUAAGUACCAAAUUUAGCAAAAUUGAAGACCAAGUUACAAGUUAAUUAGUGCAAGAGAACAAUAACAGCAGAAAAAAUGUAUAUACGGGAGUUCAUAUUUCUUGAGUAGGUCCAGAAACCUACUCAAGUAGGGCUCAGGUACUUGUAAAUACAGUCACACGGAACAGCUACCAGGACUGAUCUGGUGAAGCUUCAGAGAUGCUGGAGCGAGAGCCACAGUAGGCAAGGAAAACUAACUGAAAUCACAUCACAAAGUCCACACUAAUGUAAGGAGCAGAGAAUGAUGAACUCUCAAACCAGACACUGCUAAACCCCAGUGAGACUGAAAGUAACACUCUGUUGAAGGCUGUCCGCCUAGAAUUUUUAAUGUUAUCAAGAGUCAUUACGACUCUCUAGAUCUUCCUUUAAUCCUUAUUCACAGACAUUUAAGCCGUUACUGAAUGGAACCACGCAAACAUUAAGCCCAUAAACCCGCCCCAUUCUCUAGAACUCCAUGUCAAAACCAGGAGGCUUGAGCUGCCUACAGAGCAGACUGCACAGCCCCGCAGUGGGGAUCCUGAUGACCCAGAAGUGCUUGCUGCAGCCAGAGUUCACACAAUUGCAGAGGGCCGGACAACAGCUCUGGCCCUGGAUACUUUCAUUAUUCUGUGCUAGAGCAAGAAAUUCCUUUUCCAUGAAGCACAAACUAGGCCAAUUUUUAAUCUGGACUGCAGUGCUGAAAACAACCUGCAAAAAACAGGUGGCAGCCUCUUCACACAAGCCAAAAAAGUGAUAAAAAUAGACUUGAAUUGCCACUGAAAAUAUGGUAAAAUAAUCCUUUUCCAUCUGCUAAAGCAAACCUUGCGAGUAAGUGAAUUAACAGAUCUGCACUAUCAAAGCAAGUGAGCUAGGCAUUGUUGGUCAUUAAUUAAUAUUAACAAGACAGCAAUGGAUUGCCUGCAUCUCUUGCACACAUUAAUCAAGCCAGAAGCUGAGUUUCACCUUGUGUAUCACUCACAAACCCUGCUGGCACGCUGCCCAUUUUGUUCCUAAAUGUUUACAGCAGUCUGCUUGCUGAAGAUCCUCUGCAUUGUGAACACACCGUAGCAAAGUCCUUUCCUCCCCAGCAGUCUCAACAGCCACACGUAUUCCCUGUUCAGACUGUGCCCAGCACAUGGUAUUAUUAAAUGCAUAGUGC